rnacentral:piRNA from 1 species
UAUGAGUUCAAAAUCACAUGGUGGU